UCACCUUUGUUAUUUAAGUUAAAUUUUUUUGUUUUUUUUUUUGUAUUUCUGCUUCCUUCUCUGAAAAAAAAAAAACACCCCCUUUUCCAUUUGCCUUCUCUGCUAGGGUUUAUAAAACUCAUCAUCGCCACCGUCGUCAUGCCUCCUUGAAGCCACCCAUGAUUUCCACCGUAGACGGUGGUUGGGGCCACGUGAAAUCGGGUGUCAGACGCAUGGAAGGCCGGUGGUUGGUGCCCCGAGCGGUGGUGGUGGAGCGCGUGAUAGCCAAGGCUGAGGGGGAGUGGCGGCUGAAAACUUUGGUGGCUAGGGUUUGCUGCUGAAAUUUUGUUAAGAUAGUGGACUUGGGCUGUUAGGGUUUGUAAAUUGGGUUUGGGUAUUGUAUUAUUGGGCUGAUUUGGUUUGUAAAAUGGACUUUUAUUUAGUUAUUUAAAUUUUAUUUUUUUGUUUA